GACGAACGCUGGCGGCGUGCCUAAUACAUGCAAGUCGAACGAACUCUGGUAUUGAUUGGUGCUUGCAUCAUGAUUUACAUUUGAGUGAGUGGCGAACUGGUGAGUAACACGUGGGAAACCUGCCCAGAAGCGGGGGAUAACACCUGGAAACAGAUGCUAAUACCGCAUAACAACUUGGACCGCAUGGUCCGAGCUUGAAAGAUGGCUUCGGCUAUCACUUUUGGAUGGUCCCGCGGCGUAUUAGCUAGAUGGUGGGGUAACGGCUCACCAUGGCAAUGAUACGUAGCCGACCUGAGAGGGUAAUCGACCACAUUGGGACUGAGACACGGCCCAAACUCCUACGGGAGGCAGCAGUAGGGAAUCUUCCACAAUGGACGAAAGUCUGAUGGAGCAACGCCGCGUGAGUGAAGAAGGGUUUCGGCUCGUAAAACUCUGUUGUUAAAGAAGAACAUAUCUGAGAGUAACUGUUCAGGUAUUGACGGUAUUUAACCAGAAAGCCACGGCUAACUACGUGCCAGCAGCCGCGGUAAUACGUAGGUGGCAAGCGUUGUCCGGAUUUAUUGGGCGUAAAGCGAGCGCAGGCGGUUUUUUAAGUCUGAUGUGAAAGCCUUCGGCUCAACCGAAGAAGUGCAUCGGAAACUGGGAAACUUGAGUGCAGAAGAGGACAGUGGAACUCCAUGUGUAGCGGUGAAAUGCGUAGAUAUAUGGAAGAACACCAGUGGCGAAGGCGGCUGUCUGGUCUGUAACUGACGCUGAGGCUCGAAAGUAUGGGUAGCAAACAGGAUUAGAUACCCUGGUAGUCCAUACCGUAAACGAUGAAUGCUAAGUGUUGGAGGGUUUCCGCCCUUCAGUGCUGCAGCUAACGCAUUAAGCAUUCCGCCUGGGGAGUACGGCCGCAAGGCUGAAACUCAAAGGAAUUGACGGGGGCCCGCACAAGCGGUGGAGCAUGUGGUUUAAUUCGAAGCUACGCGAAGAACCUUACCAGGUCUUGACAUACUAUGCAAAUCUAAGAGAUUAGACGUUCCCUUCGGGGACAUGGAUACAGGUGGUGCAUGGUUGUCGUCAGCUCGUGUCGUGAGAUGUUGGGUUAAGUCCCGCAACGAGCGCAACCCUUAUUAUCAGUUGCCAGCAUUAAGUUGGGCACUCUGGUGAGACUGCCGGUGACAAACCGGAGGAAGGUGGGGAUGACGUCAAAUCAUCAUGCCCCUUAUGACCUGGGCUACACACGUGCUACAAUGGAUGGUACAACGAGUUGCGAACUCGCGAGAGUAAGCUAAUCUCUUAAAGCCAUUCUCAGUUCGGAUUGUAGGCUGCAACUCGCCUACAUGAAGUCGGAAUCGCUAGUAAUCGCGGAUCAGCAUGCCGCGGUGAAUACGUUCCCGGGCCUUGUACACACCGCCCGUCACACCAUGAGAGUUUGUAACACCCAAAGUCGGUGGGGUAACCUUUUAGGAACCAGCCGCCUAAGGUGGGACAGAUGAUUAGGGUG
rnacentral:rRNA from 1 species